UAUUAAGGAUCUCAUCGAAAAUUAGGAACUCAUCGAAAACUUACAGCAGCUUGCCAAACAAAGGCUAAGAGAAAAAAGAACAGAGGUAUGACUGUCAUAAUAUCUACGAUUGGAUUCAAAAAAGUGUAGGCCUCGGGUAAUUUGCCGAUGAAAAAACUACUUUAACAUAGGGUCGAAUUAAGACAGAUACCGAUCAAACUAAAGGUAUUAAGCAUCACAGUCUUUUUGUUCUGGGAGAUAAUUGCAUUUUGAUUGAUUUAUUGAUAUAAGGAAAAGGAAAGUGAGUAAGAUAAACAAAAAGUUAUUCUUUUUCUUUGAACCCACCCAAUCAAAAAUCCUCCUUUUCUCAAAGGAGAAUCGAAAAAAAUCAUAUUUUCAUGCAAUAUCUUAAUUGAAUUAUAUCUAAUGAUCAAUAAAUUAAGUUGAAUUCUAUAUCUACACAUACCAAAAACCUAGAAAAAUCCUAGUACCAAUCUAAUCUACUAUAUAGAUAUUUGGACUAGAGUUGACAAACAAACAAAACCAGCAAUAUACCAUUUUAGUAUCGGAUAAAAAUAUAGAUGGGGCGUGGCCAAGCGGUAAGGCAACGGGUUUUUGUCCCGCUAUUCGGAGGUUCAAAUCCUUCCGUCCCAGAACAUAUAUAUCCAAUGAUAAUAUAGAUUGCUUUUUUAACAAUGUUCUGUUUAAAAUCGAAAUGUUAGCUGGAAUGUGAUUGUUGUUUCUGAUUUUUUUCUUCAAUGAAUCUUUGAAAAACUGAAUCGAGAUGCGGAAGAAUCCAGAUUCCCUAUCUCGUAUUUUCUACCCCCUAAAUUAAACUAAUAAGAUUUAAUUUUCUUUUUUGUAGAUUUCUUUACUUUUCAUCAAGAGUGGGGUUUUGGUACUAAUUCAAUUUACUAAGUCUCUUAAUUCUUAAUCAAUGAGUUAGGCUAAAAUAGAAAAAAAGGAGCAAAAACUGGACCUAAUCUGGACUUGUUUGGCUUUGUGCCUAGACAGCUCGCAUUUCGGAAAAAUAAAAAAGACUAGGACACCCCCUUAGUUUCUUUUGAUUUAUGCUGCAUCAGUCCCAUAGAAUGGGGUAGAUAGGAGUUAAUCAGUAAUGGGAAGGCGUUCAUUUCAAUAUAUUGCAAUAUCUAUAAAGGGUGACAAUUGCUCAGUCUAUUUGAUCGAUUUGAUAGACACGAACACCUCCCCAUUCUUUGUAUUUUAUCAAUCAGAUGAAAAAAAAGAAUAAGAAUUCAAACUUACCUUACAUUAAUCUUUUUUUAUCUAUCUCAUAACUCAUAAAAAAAAUUGGAUUUGUUGUUUGGUGUAUUUAUCUAUUGUAAAUCAUUGAAUGUAAAUCAUUGAAAUCGUUGAUGAUUCACUUAAAAAAAAAAGACUUAUCUUUUUUCCUAAGAUGAUCAAAAGUUAUUUUUAACUAUCAAAUUUUCUUUGAAUAAUGAUGUGAUGUCGAAAAGAGAACUUUCUAAAUUUAUUCGAAAGUUAGAAAGAGAAAUAGUUUUAAUCAUUCCUUUUAAUCAUUCCUUAUAAACUGAAUCUUUCUCUCCUAUUAAGUCACGUGAAGAUGCAGAAUCAAAAAGAAUUCAUUUAUUCGUCUUAUUUUUUAUUAUUUAUAUAUAUUAUAUAUUUUAUUAUUUAUAUAUUUAUAUAAAUAAUUUAAUAAAUAUUUAAUAAAUAUAUUAAUUAAUAUAAUAUGUAUUAAUUAAUAUAAUAUGUUAGACAAAUUAAUAUUAGCGAUGGGCUCUUACUAAGAGACUUCUUCAGAAAAAUCUUUAUCCACCUAUAUCUAUAGUAUUAUUUAUAUCCCUUUAUAUCUCUAUACUAUAGAUUAUGGUGUUUAUACAUCAGCCCAACCAAUGACUAUUCAUGAUUCCAUAAUUGAAUCAAUUCCAUACCGGUUCUUAGAGGAAUGUUAUGGUAAAACUUCGUUUGAAACGAUGUGGUAGAAAGCAACGUGCGACUUGAAGGACACGAUCCGUUGUGGAUUUGUACAUCCACCAUUUUAUGUAGGAAUGAAGGUGCUCUUGGCUCGACAUCAUUGGUUCUGUUUCACUAGAACCCCUCGCUUUUUGUUGUCUUGGAAUGUAAAUAGUCCAUGAUGGAGCUCGAGUAGAAAGUAUUAAUUUAUUUCUCGGGGCAAGGGUCUAGGGUUAAUGCCAAUCAAUAAAAAAAUUGAAACAACUUCGUAAAUAUAUCUUCGGUAUGGAAAUCGAAAGAAUCCAAUUCGAGCAAGUUAAAAAUUCCAAAAUUUCUUUGAAUUGAUCAAACUUUUUCGAUCCAAAGUGUUUCACGAGGGAAUCCAUCGUCUUGUAGAAUUCUUUCCUAGAAAUCCCAAAAAGGGUAUGUUGCUGCCAUUUUGAAAGGAUUAAAAAGCACCGAAGUAAUGUCUAAACCCAAUGAUUUAAAAUAAAACAAAGAUAAAGGAUCCCAGAACAAGGAAACGCCUUUUAAUUGUCUUAAUAACUGGAUCAGACUGAAGAAUCCGAUUUUAAACGAGACAAACAAAAAAGGAGGAAAGACCGCUCAAUAAAUGAAAUUGCCGAAAGAUUUUCCUUUGAACUGUUUGAAAGUUAUCCAACUUGAGUUAUGAGAGUACGAAUGGUUUCUUUUUCAUUUUCAGGAAGAAAGAAGAAAAAAAAGGACUUACAUCUUUAAUUGAUUUGAUCAUUUUAUGGACCCAGUUGUCAUUUCUUAGAUAGAAUUCCAUACAUACAGAGACAAAACCAAAACCUCGAAUCAAUCAUUUUCUCGAGCCGUACGAGGAGAAAGCUUCCUAUACGUUUCUAGGGGGGGUGUUGUUCAUCUACAUCUAUCCCAAUGAGCCGUCUAUCGAAUCGUUGCAAUUGAUGUUCGAUCCCGAAGAGAAGGAAAAGAUCUUCGGAAAGUGGGUUUUUAUGAUCCGAUAAAGAAUCAAACUUAUUUAAAUGUUCCUGCUAUUUUAUAUUUCCUUGAAAAGGGGGCUCAACCUACAGGAACUGUUCAGGAUAUUUUAAAGAAGGCGGAGGUUUUUAAGGAACUUCGUCCUAAUCAACCAAAAUUCAAUUAAGGAAAUAAAUUAAGGAAAUACAAAAAAGGGGGGGUAGUGAUUUGUAUAUAAUAAGGAAAUACAAAAAGGGGGGGGGGGGGAGGGUUUUGUAUAUAACUUUGUAUGACUUUUGUUUUCUAUUUUUUUGUAAUUCCUCCCUUUCCUUUCCUUGUAUUCUAUUUUUUUGUAAUUCCUCCCUUUCCUUUCCUUUUCUAUUUGUAUUUAUUUAUCAUUGCUUCCAUUGAAUUCCAUGUUCUAUAAUGACAAAACCUCUUAUUUUAUUGAUCUUAGAAAUAAUAAAUUCGGGCAUUUCGGUUGAUUUUCCGUUUUUCAUUGGAACUCUACUAAAGCUAACAAAGAAAUCAAGUUUUCUUUUAUCACUUAACUUGAUUGAAUCCAUUAUGGAUUCAAUAAAUCUAAGUAAAUUGUAGUUUUGUUUUCCACUUAUUCUUUAUUUAUUCUCUCAUCUAUACUUUUUUCUAUCGAUUUUAUUUGGUUUGGAUUAUAUUUGUAGUGCCACUCCAACACAAAUCUUUUUUUUUUAUUGUUUUCAAUUGAAUUUUCUUUUUUUUUUCAAUAUUUAUAUUGACAACAGUGUAUCGAACAAAUAUAAUUCAUUGUGAUAAAUUGAUAAAUGAAGUGGAUCUAUUUAGUUUUAUUUUAUCUUUUAAAUUAAUUAGAAAGUGUGAAUUUAUUUUUUUAGAUUUCUUCUUUCAAUGGUUUUUGGUUGUCUUGUCUAAUCUCUUUAUUUCUUUUUCUUCGGAUUAGAUCUACACCAUUUUUUCAAUAUUUUCUUUGGGUUACUAACUCAUCGAUAGAGUACUCGGCUUUUAAGUGCGGCUACUGUCUUUUACACAUAUGGAUGAAAUGAGGGAUUCAUCCAUACUCUCGGUAAAGUUUGGAAGACCAAUUUAUCAAAUCUGAAAAAGAGUCAGAAGAAAUAGUUCGAGCAUCUUAUUUUGAUUUCUCGAACAGAGAGAUCCAUGAAUUGGGAUCCUGAUGCAUAUAGAUACAAAUGGUCCAAAGGGAGUAAGAAUUUCUUGGAACAUUUGGAGCAGUCUGUUUCGUAGCAGAAGAGCUGUUUUCAGGUAGUGUUCGAUUGAUUACGUAUUAAUCAAUAUUCGAUUGAUUGGUCUGAGGUUAUCGACAAAAAAUAUUUGUCUAAGCUACUUCGUUUCUUUUUGUCCAAGUCACCUUUUUUUUUUUGUCCAAGUUGCUUUUAUUUUUGUCUUACGCACUUUUUUUUUUCUAUGUGAGUUUCAGAAAUAUCCUUAUUACUAGGUUCGAGAUCUACAUCUAUGAAUUGAAAGGUCCGAUUGAUCAACUCUGCAAUCAGUUGUUAGAAUCAAUAGGUCUUCAAGUUGUUCAUUUCCAAAAAUUGAAACCCUUCUUAGUGGACGAUCAUGAUAGUUCCAAAAAAUCAAAAUUCUUGAUCAAUGGAGGAACAAUAUCACCAUUUUGUUCAAUAAGAUACCAAAGUGGAUGAUUGAUUUAUUCCAUACUAGAAAUAAUCGCAGGAAAUCCUUUGGUAACCCGGAUUCCUAUUUCUCAAUGAUAUUCCACUAUCAAGACAAUUGGUUGAAUCCCGUGAAACCAUUUCAUAGAAGUUCAUUGAUAUCUUCUUUUUAUAAAGAAAAUCGACUUCGAUUCUUGAAUAAUCCCCAGCACUUCUACUUCUAUUGGAACACAAGAUUCCCCUUUUCUGUGGAAAAGGCCCGUAUCAAUAAUUCUGAUUUUACGUAUGGACAAUUCCUCAAUAUCUUGUUCAUUCGCAACAAAAGAUUUUCUUUGUGCGUCGGUAAAAAAACAUGCUUUUUGGGGGAGAGAUACUAUUUCACCAAUCAAUUCACAGAUAUCUAACAUAUUCAUACCUAAUGAUUUUCCACAAAGUGGAGACAAAACGUAUAACUUGUACAAAUAUUUCCAUUUUCCAAGUCGAUCCGAUCUAUUCAUUCGUAGAGCUAUUUACUCGAUUGCAGAUAUUUUUGGAACACCUCUAACCGAGGGGCGAAUAGUUAAUUUUGAAAGAACUUAUUGCCAACCUCUUUCAGAUAUUAAUCUAUCUGAUUCAGAAAGGAAGAACUUUCAUCAGUAUCUCAAUUUCAAUUCAAACAUGGGUUUGAUUCACACUCCAUGUUCUGAGAAAGAUUUAUCAUCUAAAAAGAGGAAAAAAUGGAGUCUUUUUCUAAAGAAAUGCGUUGAGAAAGGGCUGAUGUAUAGAACCUUUCAACGAGAUAGUACUUUUUCAACUCUCUCGAAAUGAAAUCUAUUCAACUCAAAAUAGAAUCUAUUCCAAACAUAUAUGUCAUGGUUCCUUACUUCGACAGGGUACAAAUAUCUAAAUUUGAUAUUUUUAGAUAUUUUUUCAGACCUAUUGUCAAUACUAAGAAGCGAUCAAAAAUUUGUAUCCAUUUUUCCUGAUAUUAUGCAUGGAUCAGGAAUAUCAUGAUGAAUUCUUCAAAAAAAAUUAUGUCUUCCAUAAUGGAAUCUGAUAAGUGAAAUCUCGAGUAAGUGUUUACAUAAUCUUCCUCUUUCCGAAGAAAUGAUUCAUCAAAACAAUGAGUCACCAUUGAUAUCGAUAUAUCUGAGAUCGCCAAAUGCUCGGGAGUUCCUCUAUUCAAUCCUUUUCCUUCUUCUUGUUGCUGGAUAUCUCGUUUGUACACAUCUUCUCUGUGUUUCUCGGGCCUCUAGUGAGUUACAAACAGAGUUUGAAAGGGUCAAAUCUUUGAUGAUUCCAUCAUCUAUGAUUGAGUUUCGAAAAUAUUUGGAUAGGUAUCCUACAUCUGAACCGAAUUAUUUCUGGUUAAAGAAUCUCUUUCUAGUUGCUCUGGAACAAUUAGGAGAUUCUCUAAAAGAACUAUGGGGUUCUGCAUCUGGUGGCAACAUGCUUGGUUUCGCUUAUGGUGUCAAAUCAAUACAUUCUAAGAAGAUAGAUUGGAAUAUCAAUCGCAUCGAGAUCAUUGAUAUUAUACCAAAUCCCAUCAAUCGAAUCACUUUUUCGAGAAAUACGAGACAUCUAAGUCAUACAAGUAAGGAGAUCUAUUCAUUGAUAAGAAAAAGAAAAAACAUGAACGGGGAUUGGAUUGAUGAGAAAAUAGAAUCUUGGGUCGCGAACAGUGAUUCGAUUCAUGAUUAAGAAAGAGAAUUCUUGGUUCAGUUCUCCAUCUUAAGGACAAAAAAUAGGAUUGAUCAAAUUCUAUUGAGUUUGACUCAUAGUGAUCAUUUAUUAAAGAAUGACUUGGGUUAUCAAAUGAUUGAACAACCAGGAGCAAUUUACUUACGAUACUUAGUUGACAUUGAUAAAAAGCAUCUAAUUAAUUAUGAGUUCAAUCCAUCCUAUUCAGCAGAAAGAUGGAUAUUCCUUGCUUAUUAUCAGACAAUCACUUAUUCACAAACUUCGUGUGGGCAAAAUAGUUUUCAUUUUCCAUCUCAUGGAAAACCCUUUUCGCUCUGCUUAGCCUUAUUCCCCUCUAGGGGUAUUUUAGUGAUAGGUUCUAUAGGAACUGGAAGAUCCUAUUUGGUCAAAUACCUAGCGAGAAACUCCUAUGUUCCUUUCAUUACGGUAUUUCUGAACAAGUUCCUGUACAACAAUCCUAAAGGUUUUCUUCUUGAUGAGAUUGAUAUUGAUGAUAGUGACAAUACUGAUGAUAGUGACAAUCUUGAUACUAGUGACAUUCUUGAUGCUAGUGACAAUCUUGCUGCUAGUGAUGAUAUCGAUCGUGACCUUGAUACGUAGUUUGAACUGCUAACUAGGAUGAAUGGGCUAACUGUGGAUAUAAUACCGGAAAUAGAUCGAUUUUAUAUCACCUUUCAAUUUGAAUUAGCAAAAGUAAUGUCUCCUUGCAAAAUAUGGAUUCCAAACAUUCAUGAUCUGGAUGUGAAUGAGUCGAAUGACUUAUCCCUCGGUCUAUUAGUGAACCAUCUCUCCAGGGAUUGUGAAAGAUGUUCUACUAGAAAUAUUCUUGUUAUUGCUUCGACUCAUAUUCCCCAAAAAGUGGAUCCCGCUCUAAUAGCUCUGAAUAAAUUAAAUACGUGCAUUACACUAUGAAGUUUUCUUAUUCCACAACAACGAAAGCACCUUUUCACUCUUUCAUAUUCUAGGGGAUUUUACUUGGAAAAGAAAAUGUUCUAUACUAACGGAUUUGGGUCCAUAACCAUGGGUUCCAAUGCAUGAGAUCUUGUAGAACUUACCAAUAACGUCCUAUCGAUUAGUAUUACACAGAAUAAAUCAAUUAUAGACACUAAUACAAAGAUCCACUCUUCAUAGACAAACUUGGAAUUUGUGAUCCCAGGUAAGAUCGGUUCAGGAUCAUGGGAUCCUUUUCUAUCAAAUAGGAAGGGCUAUUGCACAAAAUAUACCUCUAAGUAAUUGCCCCAUAUAUCCUAUAUCUAUCUAUAUGAAGAAGAAAUCAUGUAACGAAGGGGAUUCUUAUUUGUAAAAAUGGUACUUCGAGCUUGGAACGAGCAUGAAGAGA
rnacentral:lncRNA from 1 species